GCCGAGGACUGGGCGGCCAGCCCGUGCCGCUCCAGACGGCGCAGGGCGCGCUCGGUCUCGCUCUCCGGCA
rnacentral:tRNA from 1 species